AGUUUUUCAAUUUUUUUAUUUGUUUUGUAAAAGUUUUAUUCUUGCUUGUUUAUUCACUAUUUCUUUGUAUUAUAUGUAAGUUUUGUUAAACUAAAUGUUCUAUUUUGCAGUAAUUUGAUUUAAUUAUCAAGUGAAUUUGGAUUUAGCAAUUGAUUUAGUAUUGGCAUAUUUCGUGCCAGCAGCCGCGGUUAUACGAUUAAUACAAGUGAAUAUUAUUGGUUAAGACAGUUAUUUAUAUUAUUUGGGUUAAAAUGUAAAUUUUUAAGGUGAAAUAUUAAAAUUUAUUAAUAUCUCUUUUUAUGAAUCUGUGAAAUUUAAAUAAUAAACUAGGAUUAGAUACCCUAUUAUUUUAAAAGUUAAUUAUGUUUACCAGGGUACUAUUAGUUAAGGUCUUUAAACCCAAAGAAUUUGGCGGUAUCUCAUUCCAUUCAGAGGAACCUACCCCGUAAUUGAUAAUACACGAUUUACUCUACUUAAUUUAUUUGUUUGUAUAUCUCCGUUAUCAGAGAAUCUUUUUAGGGUUAUAAUUCUCAGGAUUUAUAAUUAUAAAAUAUUUCAGGUCAAGGUGCAGCUUAUAGUUAAGAGGAGGUGGGUUACAAUAUAUUUUUGUGUAUAAUGGAUUCAAUAGUGAAAUACUUUUGAUGAAGGUGGAUUUGAUAGUAAUUUGAUUUAUUUAAUUUAACUGAUAUUGGCUCUGAGAUGUGUACACAUCGCCCGUCGCUCUCAUUAUUGAUUAUUCUAUUUAAAUUAUUUUAGAUUAUCUUUUAUUUUAGAUGAGAUAAGUCGUAACAUAGUAGAUGUACUGGAAAGUGUAUCUAGGAAGAGUUU
rnacentral:ncRNA from 1 species